rnacentral:rRNA from 1 species
UAAUACGGGGGGGGCAAGCGUUGUCCGGAAUCAUUGGGCGUAAAGAGCGCGUAGGCGGGACAGUAUGUCAGAAGUGAAAACCAUGGGCUUAACUCAUGGCCUGCUUUUGAAACUGCUGUUCUUGAGUACGGUAGAGGGAAGUGGAAUUCCUGGUGUAGCGGUGAAAUGCGUAGAUAUCAGGAAGAACACCGGUAGCGAAGGCGGCUUCCUGGACCGUAACUGACGCUGAGGCGCGAAAGCGUGGGGAGCAAACAGGAUUAGAUACCCUGGUAGUCCACGCUGUAAACGAUGGGCACUAGGUGUUGGUUUGUGAUUAGCAGAUCAGUGCCGAAGCUAACGCAUUAAGUGCCCCGCCUGGGGAGUACGAUCGCAAGGUUA